GCACAGCCGUGAUUCCGUCGACGGUGACGGCAGCGGUCCCUGGUAACGUACCUGAUUUUUGCCAGUUCCAAGAGAACGUUGCUGUUGCUGUUGCCGUUGGAUGGACGCGUGCGAAUCUUGGUGCAUGGUACGUUGCCACGUCGCAUGAGGCUGAACACGUCGCAAGGAAAGUGAGAGAGAGUGUGGACGAGAGGGAUCCAACACAUCCUCCCCAAAUCAUUUCUCUAGUGGCUGACCGCAUCACCCACUCUCCUCCCUCGCGCGUGCUCGUGCUUGCCGGUGCAGACGCUCUCCUGAGACCCGACUUGCCGGAGUCCCGCCGGCAGCCGACGCCCUCCUCCUUAUUCGUGCUCUCGGCCGCAAGAGACUGAACUAUCCCAGAGACCCAAGCCAAGACCGCAGGCGUCGCCUACGAUCUCGACGAGAUCCUGGCUCGUGCGGAAGGAGGCGGCCGGUCAAGGCCGUCGCUGCAGCAACAGAGCCUGCGCUGGCCCGCCGGCUCGAUGGGGGAUGCGGAGGUUAUGGGAUUUGCGGAGCGCACCAGCGCGACCUCUGCCGGAUCUGGCGCCCAGGCGCGGUAGUCGACGUGGCGGUGCUUGCGGGGGAGCAGGGGAUUUUGAAGCUGGAGGUGGACGGGGAGAUGAACACGGUCUGCUCCCGUGCACCCGGUGUCUUGCUCUUCUCGCGCCACAGUAUUGACCAAGAGGAUCACGUGGGAGGCCUCUGUCACGCAGACGUCCCGUGCCCGAUGGACGGCGACCUUCCGGCUGAAACAUCUUCCUCAUGGAGCUAUAGACGCGGUGCAUCGGGAUAGUGAUGUGAUAGUUAAAACAUGAAAGAUCGUUGUCGGAGGAAAGAAAAAGGUAAUGUGGUAAAACAUUUUCUUAUUUGUCAAUGUUUUUUAUGUUGCAUUAUGUCUUAAUUUUAGCUUCGUUUUUGUAUAACUUUUGGGCUAGAAAAAUUAUCCAGGAAGAUAGGUGAUUUCUUUUGCAAUUUAGGAACACAAAUAUCAAUAUAUCUCAGGUCAUUUUGUCUAAAGUGAUUAGUUUACCUUGACUUUUGCUAUGAAAUAGACUUUGUUUUUUGUGGUGGAAUUAUCUUAAUAAAACAUAUUAUUUUUCGGUGUUGCUUCUUAUUCACUAUAUACAAUAUGGUUGUGUGUGGUCAAUCUUUGUAAAUGUUCUGGCUAUAAGCUUAUAUACAUCUUUGCCCCCUCUCAAUUUUAAUCCUGGCUCCGCCCCUGGUGGGGACUGUGUCGCGGGGGUAUGCCGUCGGGAUCCGGCGGGGAUGCGCCUGGAACGGCCGGAUCCGGCACUGAAGAGGAGCGUCGGUCGGCGACGUGGUGGAGCUAGCCAUGAGGAUGGGCCUGGCGGCGGCGGAUAGGGUUAGACGUAGCCCAGACCAAACGACCAAACGAACAGGAAGAACGCACAAAAGGAGGGCCGUGAACGAACACCAGGCAAACAAGUACUUAUAGGGAGCCAAAAGAAAAGAAAAAACAAAAACGAAGCCCACCAGAAAGGUCCAGAAGGCAACGUGUCCAUGGGUAAACUGCUAGUCAACUACACGUGAGACAAACGUGGCAACAUGCAUGGUCAUGCGGCAUGGAGCAGAACCAACGCACGAAAUCUAGAAGGGUCAUGUGAACUGGCCCAGCGACAUGCAUGCCCAUGCAGGGACACGUGGAACAUAGCAAACCCAAAAAAUCUGAAACGGGCACGUCAAUUUGACCAUGCAAACGGGCCAGUCAAAUAAAUAUUUUAAAAAAGAAAGGAGCUCUCCCUUACGAUGGGCUGCAGACGUAGAGAUAGACAAGGGCUGCACACGUGUCGGUAAAAAAAAAUUCCAAAAAAACCAGAAAAAAGGAACCCUUACGGGCUUAGUCUUCUUAGUAUUUGUUCUGAGAGGAGAGUUGAGUUGUUCAGUGUGUGGUUGUGGUGCCCCUACACAUUUCAGCCUCAUUGUCAGCUGGUGGUUGGUGUGUGAGCCCCUCCUAUUCCAUGCUAAAACCGUUGAAGGCCAACCCACAGAGCUCUCGCUCCCUCAACUAGAUUCCCACUCCCCUCACUAGCAUAAUAUUUCUUUCGCUCUCUCCACUGCUAUCUUGUAAGAAGGUGACGAUCUCUUUUUAUUUGAAAACGUUUGUUAAAUCAAAAGAAGCUCUUGGAUUUUUUUUAAAUUUUGCAAACUAAAACAUCCAUUUUUUAAAUUGUUCAUGCAUUUCAAAAAAUAUUUAUAAAUCAAAAUAAAGUUAAUAUAUUUUAAAAAAUGCUUGUGAACUAAUAUUCAUGAAUUAAAAAAAUCAUGAACUUAAAAAAUAUUCAGUGCUCUAAAGAAUGUUCUCAAUUUUUUAAAACAUUCACAAUUUUAAUGAAUGUCCAUGAGUAAAAAUGUUUAAAAAAUAAAGUAGAAAAGCAAGGAAACCAAAAAAAGGAUAAGUAAUAAAAAGACAGGAACCCUUGACCAACGGACACACAUCCUUACAGGUGGGCCCCCUACAACCCCCGAGGAGGCUCCAAAUCUAGGGAGCAAAUGCACUUGUAUUACUAAUCUCGACCAAAGAGUGCUUAGUUGUAUAAAAUAUUAAAAAUAAUAAUUUGGUUGGCAAUAUUUUUGUAUUUUCUGAAUAAAUAAUAAAUGAAAAUAAAAGUGCAAAUACAACUUGCUGGAGGUGCUUUCUUAUAGUAAAAGAUAGCCGAAGUUCAUAUGUUCAUCUUGGGUAAGUCUCCAUAAGAUAAAAUGUGCAACAAGUAUCAUAGUCAUGUGAAAAGGAGAAUGAAAUAUUUUGUGCUCAUCCUAGAUUGUGUGCAAUGUGUCGAUGGUAUAGAUGCAAUACUUCCAUAAAUCUAUUGACCGAGACCCUUUCUACAUCUAUACUUCAUAAUUCACUCUUUGAUUGAGAUUCUCUCUGCAUCAUCCAAGUAUUAAGUACAAAACAAAUAAUUUCCUUAAGCAAGAGGACAUACUGUUGUUUGUAUGAUUUCAUUAUAAGCCUCAUACAAACAUUUUUCCUUGGUGACAAUAAUUCAAUGCAAGCCUUUUCCAUUUGCUAUGCAUGUAGUCGUAAAUUAUUUGUUAGAUUAAUUUAUGUAGGCAAAACAUGCCAUCUCAUGAACCCAUGCAGGUGUUUUAGGAACUUAGUCAUGCAAAUAUCUUUACAUUAAUUUUAGCACUUAUUAUGCAUUUUUAAUAAUACCCCCGCAGCAACAUGCGGGAUAUCAUCUAGUAUAAAGGAAUAUUUACACUAGAAAAAAAUUGUUAUGGAACAGUAUGGAAAAUAACCUCUCCUCACUCCAAACCCUAGAGAGAAGAUUUUCUGGGAGCACCGUGCCACUACCUCUCCCCCGCUGCCGCCGUCCGUUUGGGAUUCUAGGGAGACACCAAUAUACCGAAUGGAGCUAUAGUUUCCUCUGCUUUGGGGCUUUUAGUAGGGUUAUUAAGAUGUAGUGCUUUGUUGGUGGUAACGACAGCUUUUAGUAGGGUUAUAGCAUUUUGAAAUAAAUUCUACUUUUCUUACAUAGUUCAAACCACUUGUUAACUCACGAUUGCGCAUGUUCAAAGUUUCAAACAUCCUUUUGCUUUUCAAAUUGCGUAGAUUCCCUUCGGCUUCUCUAGAUAGUAAGUUUAGGGUUUGUAGGGUUUAUCGACCUGGUGGCGAGGGCUUCCCUUUGGACUUUGGUCCUCCAGCCUCCUCUCCAACACACUGGUGCAACCUCUGGCGCCGUUGUGAGGCAUGUGAGUUGUUUUGAAGGUUGGAUCUUGGAUAUAUGGAUCUUUCGGUGGCAACAACUUCGACGGUUUCUUCUCAAGUUACUGGUCUGGCUAGAGUGUGGCCUUGAUGACUUUCUUCCCAUGAUUAACAAUGAGUGGCUAGCUCCGAUGAUGGAGAGGCAGUUGUCGCAGUGCACCACAAGUCUGUUCAAGAGGAAGAGGACGAUCGGAUCCUAGGGAUCUCGAUGUAUUUCAUUUAUUUUCCGGGGUGUCUAUAUUUCCUGGUUGGAUCAAUAGAUUUAAGUCCUUUUCGCAAAUUAUUUUGGAACACUACUAUCUAGUAUAUAUAUAUACUCUAUUAAUGACCCAGGGUGAAGAAUUACUUAUUCUUCACCCCGGUCGAACAACCCAGCCACUCGCACUCGCACGCAACCUGCCGCCAGUCGAGGUAAGUUUUUUUGUUGCGGGGGCAGCCAAAGUAAUUUAUCUUUCCUAGCAACUGUUUAGCUAACCCACUCUCCGCAGUUUUUGGAACUGCUGGGAGCAGACGUGCGGCUCGGAGGCGAGCGGCGGGUGGUUUCGGCGGCGAGCCGACGGCAGCCGCGGGUGGAGUCAGAUGCGUGCGACGCCGGUGGCGAGCAGCAGCGUCGAGGCGAGCAGCGUUUCGCGGCGUUUGGCAACCUCUUCGGCCGACGGCCGCGCCAUGAGCCCACGACCGACCUCCAUCCCUCGCUCCCUUCGUCGCCCUGGCGAUGGCUCGACCUCCAUUUCGAUUCCCCGACCACAAGCUCCUGCCCUGGCCUCUCUUCGUCGCGCUGCGCCGGACUCUGCCCCCUCCUUCCUUUUUACAUGCACGGUAGCAGGAUGGCUCCGAUUGGAGUGAGGCUCGCGAGAAGCGACCCCCCACCUACUAUCAACCCUCCAGCAAGCUCCGUUAAGAUGCCCAGGAUCCAUGGCUCCGUCUCCUACAUGGCACCAACCCAUUCCCAGGUUUUCUCGAUUUCUCUCUUCCUCUCUCUCCCUCUGUAGGUGUUGUCAACUCGUCAUGCAUGCGUGUGUGUUCUUAUUAGUCAUUUUGCUACUAAUGCUUAGAUCAAUUGGCAUAUUAUGCAGGACAAGUAUUGUGCAGGAAGCUCCAUUACUGCAUUAGUAAAGUGAUAAAGACAGGAGUCAAUUUACAUCUUAUCUGACCAUCUUAGAUCUUUCCUUGCUAGCUAGAUUUAUGAUUUAGAUUUUCUCUGUGUAUAAGUUUAUUCUCAUUCAGGAAUCAGCUACUGUACCACAAUAGCAGUUCUGUCAUUCUAAUUCUCAAAGUAUUUUCGAAAUCCCAUACUCAGCGCUUAAUUUCUGUGUAUAAGUUUAUUCUCAUUCAGGAAUCAGCUACUGUACCAUAAUAGCAUUUCUUGUUUGAGUAUUAUUAAUCGCUUAAUUUAUAACAUAAUUGGAGAAUCAUCAAACAAGAAUUGUUGAUUUGAUGGUUGCAAACCUAGAUUAUUCCAUUUUUUCAAACCCCAUCUAAUGUUUCGCAUAGGGUUGAUAGAAAUAUCUUGGUCUAAAUAUGCAUUUGUGAAUUCAGUUUCUUCAUUUUUAUUGGCUUCAUGAUGCAUUUCUGUCAGAUCAUAUGUAUACUACUGUUAGGUGAAUUUAAUCAUCGAUUGAUCUGCUUUCCAUGUCAUACAAAACAAUAACCUUCUCUUCUUUAGGUUGUGAUUUUAAAAAUUGUUAUAGUGUUGGUUUGAGUUACCCCUGGAAUUCUUCAUGAUGGAUGACUGGAUGUUUAUUUUCCCUUGCUUGCUAUCAUGCCAUGAUUCUUGGUCUCGAUAUGUUCAACUCAAAUCAUGAUUCGGGGGCAUCAAUUAGGGGUGCAUGUACUUCAUCUUGGUGAUUGUGCAGAUGAUGGUCAUUUACCCAUUUUUUAUAUAGCCCCCUUAAUCUUGGCAUCGAUUAGUGGUGCAUGUACUUCAUCUUGAUGAGGACUAACGACCAAGUCAGACUUCUCUUAGGUGUAAUCCAACCAACGGGUUGUGCCUCCGACGUUCCACCAUGCAUAACUCCACGCAUGAGGUAGAAUCUCUUAGGUGCCGACGGGGCAUGCAGUUUCCGACGGCGAAUGGCUUGGGCGUGGUGGCCGGCAUCUAAGUGAGCGGCUGGUGGGCACGAUGGCAUGGUGGUCGGCAGAAAGGAUGGACGGGUUGGUGAGCGGGGACUGACCAUCGUGGGGCGUGACGACGUGGUGCUCGGUGGCAAUGUUGGCGAGGUGUGCGGGGUGUGGCCUCGGUGUUGGGCAAAGUGGCUUGUGGCAGUCUGCUGGCCGCGGGGAUAGUUUAGGGUGUUCGCGGUGUUGCUUCGACCGCGAGCAACUCGUGCUGCUUGCUCCACUACGCGCUGGUGAGUUUAUUCCUAAUCUCUUCAACAACCUGUGAAGAAGUUGUUGAACAAGCUAAUUGAAUACGAGCCAACCCGUGAAGAACCAAAUUGCUAUUAGCAUAACUAAUUUGUUAUGUUAAAUAUGUUCAGAGGGUAUCACAGCGGCGCCGAGUAGAUGUUGAAUUUUAUUUUUUGGUCUUUGAACAGACGCCCAAUUUGACUUGUUUUCAGUGCACAUAUAUUGGUUCAUCAAUUAGUAAUGAAAAUUAGCGGCAGCUUCAUUUUUCUUGUCUGUAUUGCAAUCAGGAAGGAACUCAAAGACAGAUAUACAUUUUCUUACUGCAUUCUACUCCAUAGAAUUUCUAUACAGGUUAGGAUAGAUUAUCAUAGCUGUAUAAACAACGGCUUAAUAUUUCGUAUAUAGUUGAAAUCCUGCACAUAUCUCUCUUGAUUUAUUUAUCUUGUCUGCUAUCUUGCACCAUUACUUGAUGAAAGAAAAUAUUACAGUACAAUUUUGACAGCGCCAACUUCCCAGAAAUCUACAGUUUAUGUAUAUCAAGGUUUUCUUCCAGUGAUUCAAUCCUUGUUCAAGUGCUGACAUGCAUAGACUUGAAUGUCCAAAAAAUGUGUACACAUGUUUAUCUCUGUAAUAACAAGCUUUUACAGUCAGGGGUAAAUUUACAAACGCUGGUCUGAAUACUGAACAUGCUAAUACCAUCUUGGCAUCUUCCAGUAUUAUAACGCCAAAGAAAGGUUUGUGCAUGACUGAUGCUAGGUCCAAUUAGAUGGUGUAAAAUCAUUGCUGGAUCUCAGAACUCUUUUUACUUUCAGCAUUCUUAGGUAGGAGCAGCUAACCAGCAAAGGAGUUGUUGAUAAUAUCAUUGUGCAGAUCGCCAAUCAUCUUUAAGAAUGCCUUUUGUCUUUGCAUGUUUCUAGGGGGUACAUCAUCGUCAUGGCCCCCAUUCCAUCAUGACAGAAUCCACUUGUUAGAAAAAUGCACUGCAAAUGUUAACAAAAAUUAAAAUUUCUCAUCAUUUAAUAUUUACUUUUUUGCAACAAAUAAAAUUUCUCUUGGUUUUGCUAUUCAAACACGAUUAAUUUCUUCUUCCUUGGGGCUUUUUUACCACUGCCAUGGACAAGUGCUCCUUUAGUUCCUUGUCAUAUUUAUGUAGUUCCUUGUAAUAUGUGGCUGAUGGAUUAUGGAGAGUACCUUUGAAACUGAUGCCCGUCUUUUCAGCUUACAGUUUUCCUUGGUUAUAUUUUGCAUCUAACGAGUAGCUGCAAUGAUAUGACUACAUGUGACAAUUUUCCAAGCACUGGAACUUUUUUGGUAAUCAUUACAGAAACUGCCGGGUCAUUCAGAUGAGGAUGGUGCAAAGGCUAAAUGGAAAUACAUCUUUGCAGAAAUUGUAGGUUCAUCUAGAUGGGGAUUUUGCAACAUCUUAUUUGAAAUGAAAAUGUCUCAGUUUGGCCAAAAGAUGACCAGUGCCCAUCUCAAGAUUCAGAGGGGAUUGUUCUACUACAGAAAGAUAUUUUUCUCUAUAAAUAUUGAUUUUUUUUAGAUGCUACUUUGUCUAGCAGCAUACUAAAUUUUCUUGUUUUUAUGAUAUAUGUGUGAUAAAUUCACAUCGCCUUUGUUCAUUGUAAACAUACCUAGU